rnacentral:rRNA from 1 species
UACGUAGGGUGCAAGCGUUGUCCGGAAUUAUUGGGCGUAAAGAGCUCGUAGGCGGUCUGUCGCGUCGGCUGUGAAAACUCGGGGCUCAACCCCGAGCCUGCAGUCGAUACGGGCAGACUAGAGUCCGGCAGGGGAGACUGGAAUUCCUGGUGUAGCGGUGAAAUGCGCAGAUAUCAGGAGGAACACCGGUGGCGAAGGCGGGUCUCUGGGACGGUACUGACGCUGAGACGCGAAAGCGUGGGGAGCGAACAGG